CACGUAGGGCGCAAGCGUUGUCCGGAAUUAUUGGGCGUAAAGAGCUCGUAGGUGGUUUGCUGCGUCCGCUGUGAAAACCCAAGGCUUAACCUUGGGCUUGCAGUGGAUACGGGCAGACUAGAGGAAGGGGAGAAUGGAAUUCCCGGUGUAGCGGUGAAAUGCGCAGAUAUCGGGAGGAACACCGGUGGCGAAGGCGGUUCUCUGGGCCUUACCUGACACUGAGGAGCGAAAGCGUGGGGAGCGAACAGG
rnacentral:rRNA from 1 species